rnacentral:tRNA from 1 species
GGGGGUCUAGCUCAAAUGGUAGAGCGUGCGCUUAGCAUGAUGAUCUGCGCAAGGUACUGGGUUCGAUCCCCAGGUCCUCCA